rnacentral:rRNA from 1 species
CCUGCCGGAGGCUACUGCUAUCGGGGUUCGAUUAANCCAUGCGAGUUAAAUGUUCUUUGUGANCAUAGCGAACUGCUCAGUAACACGUGGAUAACCUACCNUUAGGACCGGAAUAACCCCGGGAAACUGGGGAUAAUACCGGAUAAGCCAUAGACGCUGGAAUGCCCUAUGGUUCAAAGCUCCGGCGCCUAAGGAUGGAUCUGCGGUCUAUCAGGUUGUAGUGGGUGUAACGUACCUACUAGCCGACGACGGAUACGGGUUGUGAGAGCAAGAGCCCGGAGAUGGAUUCUGAGACACGAAUCCAGGCCCUACGGGGUGCAGCAGGCGCGAACACUUUACAAUGCGGGAAACCGCGAUAAGGGAACCCCGAGUGCCAGCAUCAAAUGUUGGCUGUCCAGAUGGUUAAAAAUCAUUUGUUAGCAAGGGCCGGGCAAGACCGGUGCCAGCCGCCGCGGUAACACCGGCGGCCCGAGUGGUAGCCGUUUUUAUUGGGUCUAAAGGGUCCGUAGCCGGCCUGAUAAGUCCUUUGGGAAAUCUGACAGCUUAACUGUCAGGCUUCUAAGGGAUACUGUCAGGCUUGGGACCGGAAGAGGUAAGGGGUACUCCAGGGGUAGGAGUGAAAUCUUGUAAUCCCUGGGGGACCAUCUGUGGCGAAGGCGCCUUACCAGAACGGGUCCGACGGUGAGGGACGAAAGCUAGGGGAGCAAACCGGAUUAGAUACCCGGGUAGUCCUAGCUGUAAACGAUGCUCGCUAGGUGUCAGACACGGUGCGACCGUGUUUGGUGCCGCAGGGAAGCCGUUAAGCGAGCCACCUGGGAAGUACGGUCGCAAGGCUGAAACUUAAAGGAAUUGGCGGG